UAUGCACUGUAAUCAGAAGCAGUCCACUUGUUUAUGGGCUUGCUUCCUUCAUGAAGUGCAGAGAUUACUUGUCAUUCACACUUUACCCGUUCGAGUUGGCGAUUUCUUCGUCGUUGUUUCGUUCGAGUCAUACAUGUCUGAUACAUUUC
rnacentral:snoRNA from 21 species